UCCUCGUUGUUUCCGAUUCGAAGAUAGAACAAAAAAAUCAGAAGGAGUAAUCUCAUGUCUUGUUCAUCUCAGUGUGUUAUAAAAGAGUAAAAGCUCUUUCUCAAGUCCACGGAACAGAGCACUGAGAUCUCAGAUCUGUUCAGAUCUUGUUAAGAACUUGGAUCGAAGAGGAAGUCAAAGAUCUUAAAAAAGCAUGAAACAAAGUGAAACAGAAGCUUUAAAAGUCGGUAGAUUCACCGAGGAUUUGACCAUACCAAAUAUGUAGAGCUGAAGGCAAAAUCUUGUGAACAAAGAUGAGUUUGGGAUGGUUGUCGAUUAUAUCAUAAGAAGAGUUGGAAGACAAACAAAUGAUUUCUUAUCAAUGUGAGAUUGGAAUGAUUUCGAAGAGUCUGGAGACGAUGUGAAUCAAUCAAAGACUACGGACUUCAUUCUCCUAUGAAGGAAAACAUGACUUCAAUAUAAAAGUUAAGUUAUUUUCAGAAAGUUUGUCUUUUUUACAUUAGAUAUAAUAUAUCUUCCAUUGGAACAUAGUUUUUCUUUCAUCUAUUCAUCCACGAAAGUCAUAUUCAAUAUUUGGAAAAUAUCAACUUUAGACUUAAUGUUGUUUCCUAAUUUAACAGCACAAAGCUGACAGUUGAAUAAUGAUUAAGGCCAUGAGGCAAAGUCUAUCAAAAACCUUGCAGUACACAGAUAAGUCUCGGACUAUAGGUUUAUUUGGUUGAUUUAGAAAUGAGAAACGGUAUAUGUGUUUACCGUUUAGUGAGUUGACUUAAUUAAAUAUACAAUUGAUGUACAGGUGGUGCAGUCUGUUGUACACAACAAGAGAUUUACACAGCAGGUCGAGCAGUCAAAAGUUUAGAGACAGAAGCUUAAUUCAUUUGAAGGACAUGGGACAAAGACAUGACUGCAAAGAAAUACAAACCCAAGUCAUACCAUAUUGUUUCCGAGAAGAUGUAGCUUUGGUCAUUGGCGUACAUGAAGAAGCUGUCUUUGUAUUUGUUUUUGAUAAGACAUCAGGUGAUCCGUGAUCAGUGUCACUCUCUUCGCUACUGCAAUCAUAAACUUGUUCUCUCUCUAAUUCAGACUCUUCUGCUAAUAAAACAAAAUAAAA